rnacentral:rRNA from 1 species
GACGAACGCUGGCGGCGCGCCUAACACAUGCAAGUCGAACGAGCGAGCGAGAGCUUGCUUUCUCGAGCGAGUGGCGAACGGGUGAGUAACGCGUGAGGAACCUGCCUCAAAGAGGGGGACAACAGUUGGAAACGACUGCUAAUACCGCAUAAGCCCACGGCUCGGCAUCGAGCAGGGGGAAAAGGAGCAAUCCGCUUUGAGAUGGCCUCGCGUCCGAUUAGCUAGUUGGUGGGGUAACGGCCCACCAAGGCGACGAUCGGUAGCCGGACUGAGAGGUUGAACGGACACAUUGGGACUGAGACACGGCCCAGACUCCUACGGGAGGCAGCAGUGGGGAAUAUUGCACAAUGGGGGAAACCCUGAUGCAGCGACGCCGGGUGGAGGAAGAAGGUCUUCGGAUUGUAAACUCCUGUUGUUGGGGAAGAUAAUGACGGUACCCAACAAGGAAGUGACGGCUAACUACGUG